rnacentral:rRNA from 1 species
AUUGAACGCUGGCGGCAGGCCUAACACAUGCAAGUCGAGCGGAUGAAGGGAGCUUGCUCCUGGAUUCAGCGGCGGACGGGUGAGUAAUGCCUAGGAAUCUGCCUGGUAGUGGGGGAUAACGUCCGGAAACGGGCGCUAAUACCGCAUACGUCCUGAGGGAGAAAGUGUGGGAUCUUCGGACCUCACGCUAUCAGAUGAGCCUAGGUCGGAUUAGCUAGUUGGUGGGGUAAAGGCCUACCAAGGCGACGAUCCGUAACUGGUCUGAGAGGAUGAUCAGUCACACUGGAACUGAGACACGGUCCAGACUCCUACGGGAGGCAGCAGUGGGGAAUAUUGGACAAUGGGCGAAAGCCUGAUCCAGCCAUGCCGCGUGUGUGAAGAAGGUCUUCGGAUUGUAAAGCACUUUAAGUUGGGAGGAAGGGCAGUAAGUUAAUACCUUGCUGUUCUGACGUUACCAACAGAAUAAGCACCGGCUAACUUCGUG